rnacentral:lncRNA from 1 species
CCUCUGCCCCCCUCCCCCUUUCAUCCACCUUCUCUUCUCUAUCCCCCUUCCUCUUUUACCUUCCUAUCCUCUGCCCCCCUUCUUCUUCUUCUUUCGCCUUCCCUUCCUAUCCUCUACCCUCUCGUAACUAGGUUUUAGUCCCCCCCCCCUUCCCCCUCUUCUGGCCCUCCUUUCAACGCCAAGUUUUGUGGAAUAGCUCCCUUUUGCCCUUUCUAUUCUCCCUCCCCCCCCCCCCCCCCCUCUGUCCUCAAUAAAGGUGCUUUUGAUCCUCAGUUGGCACUCCAAGACCUUCUUAAUCUGCCUGAGGAUUUUUUUUCCCCCAAGUGGUACUUAUUAAGAUUAUUUUUUCUCAUCACAUAUGUGCAAUUUUUCUUGACGUUUGAAUAUUUCAAAACCAAUUUUACGAUUUCUAUUUUUUUUCAAAGUAAUCAUACAUAAAUCCUCCCCAUUUCCCUACAAGUUGAUAUUAUUGUCAUUUUUAUUGUUAUUAUUGACUCAAUAUCAUCCAUAUAAAAACUGGAUGUAAAGAUCACAAAAUCUUACAAUUAAAACCAAUUUUCUCAUUAAAGAUAUAAAUAUGAAAGAUAGUGAAGACCCAUUUAAUUAAACAAAUGAAUUAAGCAUAAGCGCACAGUUGCCAGGUAGUCCAUAAGUUACGUGCGCACAGUUGCCAGGUAGUCCACAAGACACGUGACGACGUUGUAAACUUAGGUGACGUUAUAAUUUUCUUUCGAUGGUAUUAAACUCUUUUGAGUAUACCACUAUAGUAAUGUGAGUAUGUAUUUACAGCACAAAAAGGGAUAUAAUGCAUUAGACAAAUGUAGUUUACGGUAUAAUCUGUUAUCUAUGUUUUUCUUCUGCAAACUUUGACCACAAAGUGACUGUUAUGCCAAAGUGACUAUCUACAGUGACUGUCAUGCUAAAGUGAAUGUCAUGCCAUCCCAUAGCUAGGUUGUUAAGAUCCUAAUUAGUAUUAUUGCACUCUUAUUUUCCUUGCAUUUCUGUCCUGGGCAUAUCGUAAUUGAUUUCCAUCUCUAUGUGAUGAAGUUUCUGACCGUAAUUGACUUUCAUAUAUAUGUGAAGAAGCUUCACACCUGCUACUUACCUUACUCAACACGUAGGUAUGUUUUAUUGUUUAAUUGGUUCUUCUAAGGCGCUACGGAGAAUAAAAGUUAGUCUGUUAAAAGUACCAUAAAUGUUUGACUUUAUCAAGAGCGAAUGGUUAGUAUGUUGAGCUUAUUAAAGAGACCAAGUCUUAUUUUCUUUGUCUCGUAUCUAUGGCGUAUUUCUAAGCAAUGUUUUUUUUUUUUUUUUUUUUUUUUUUAGGGAGAUAUGUCUAUCAGUUUGUUUUGUACUGUUUUGUACACUAUCUUAAAUACACUUUGCUAUUUUUA